rnacentral:lncRNA from 1 species
UUUUAGGGGGGGUGGAGGACUGAUUAAUUAUUGGCAAUUACUGUGUGGGUGACCUGGGGCCCGAGUUGUGGGGCAGGCAGGUGGGUUUGGAUGUGUGAGGGCUGCACCUGCCCAACAAGGCGCAGCUGGGCCCAGCAGGUGCCUCUGUGGAAACCUGCGUGAGGGAGGGCAGCACGGCAGUGAGGGGCGAGGAGGAGGUGUGGGCAGCAGCCCUGUGAGCAGCCAGGUUGGAGGAAAAGCAGGAUCACCCAUUUGAAUUUGUGCCAAUCUCUACAGGAACCUGAUGCCAGCAAUUUAAGGAUCUUCACAUUCAGUCUCAGUGCCCUAACGAAGCAAUUCCAGGACAGUCUCAACAAAACCAACCUCUACCGUGUGUCAUUACUUGAACUUGACGCUCUUCCCUCUGCUGCCAGGCAUUCAAUUUCCCCGCAGAUUUUGUCCCCUCGUUAAGGUUUGGGAACAGUUUGUAGAUUUGCCACUAGCCCCAGGAGGCAGUACACUGGUCCUGAGGAUACAUGGUGGUGCAGGAAAUCAGUUCACGAUGCUCAGU